AAUGAACGCUGGCGGCAGGCCUAACACAUGCAAGUCGAACGCCCCGCAAGGGGAGUGGCGCACGGGUGAGUAACGCGUGGGAAUAUGCCCUUCGGUUCGGAGUAACACAGGGAAACUUGUGCUAAUACCGGAUAAGAUCUACGGAUGAAAGAUUCAUCGCCGAAGGAGUAGCCCGCGUAGGAUUAGCUUGUUGGUGAGGUAACGGCUCACCAAGGCGACGAUCCUUAGCUGGUCUGAGAGGAUGAUCAGCCACACUGGGACUGAGACACGGCCCAGACUCCUACGGGAUGCAGCAGUGGGGAAUAUUGGACAAUGGGCGAAAGCCUGAUCCAGCCAUGCCGCGUGAGUGAUGAAGGCCUUAGGGUUGUAAAGCUCUUUCGCCAGGGAAGAUAAUGACGGUACCUGGAAAAGAAGCCUCGGCUAACUCCGUGCCAGCCGCCGCUGUAA
rnacentral:rRNA from 1 species